rnacentral:lncRNA from 1 species
GUGGAUCACGGACAGUUGCUGCCCUUAAAACCCCUGCUGACAUUAAACUCAAAAGUAAUCAGUUUUCCAUUGUGUUCUGAAGAAAACCAGCUCCAUGGAUUGACUUUAGAUCAUUGAUUAGUGGCUACCUGAUUUGAAGCAUCAGCUACAUGUAGAUGAUCCUUAUUAGACAGCAUAUGCUCUACUACUAUGUUUGCUAUUCCUAUACAUCUCCUCAGACUGUAGCCAAGGCUGACCUGGAACGGCAGAGCAGUUCUCAUCCCUCAGCCCCAGUGCUAGGGACAAAACUGAGACCUAUCCUAUCCAUCUACAGU